rnacentral:rRNA from 1 species
AAUUAAAAACUAGAAUGAAAGGUUUAACAUUUAAAUUACUUUAUUAAAUUAUAAAUUUAAUUUAUACUAAAUAUAAAAAUAUAUUUAUAAAAAAAAAAGACGACAAGACCCUAUUAAAUUUAACUUAUGUUAAGCUGGGGAAGCUUAUUAAAUAAAAUUUUAAUUUUAAAUAAAAAAAAUCUAAUAAAAUUAAAUUAAACAAAUUACUAUAGGGAUAACAGCGUUAUUUUAUUUAAAAGUUCAUAUUUAAAAUAAAGAUUGCGACCUCGAUGUUGAAUUAUAUUUCUAUGAUAAUGCAACAAUUACAUUAGUAGGUCUGUUCGACCUUUAAAAUAUUACAUGAUUUGAGUUCAAACCGGUGUAAACCAGGUUGGUUUCUAUCUUUUGAUAUUAUUUUUCUAGUACGAAAGGACAAAAAAAUAUUUAUUAUAAAUUUAUUUAGCAAAAUAUAUGCAUUAGAUUUAGAAUCUAAAAAAAAGUUAUAAUUUCAUUAACAAAUUCAAUAAUUUCUAUUAUAAGACUAUUAGUAGCAGUAGCAUUUUAUACUAUUUUAGAACGAAAAAUCUUAAGAUAUAUUCAAAUUCGAAAAGGACCUAAUAAAGUAGGUUUAAUAGGAAUCUUACAACCAUUCAGAGAUGCUAUUAAACUAUUUAAUAAAAAUUUAAAUACAUCAGAAAGAAUAAACUUUAUCUUAUCAUAUUUAACCCCAGCAUUAUCUUUAAUAUUAUCUUUAAUAAUAUUAACAAUCAUUCCUAUAAAUAAAUAUUCACAUUUUGAUAAUAAAAAUAUAAUUUUAACAUUUUUAUUAAUUUCAAGUUUAUCAGUUUACUCUAUCCU